UUUUAGCCCAGAUGGGAAUGAAAACCCCGGACUUUAUAUUUGUUGAAUUUUUUUGGUGUAAAAGUGCGACCAGCGGAAGCUCCUUUUAUGCCUUAAAAAAUUACAAAUAUAAGGAGGAGUUGUAAUGUACAGCUGGAAUUAGC
rnacentral:sRNA from 1 species